rnacentral:rRNA from 1 species
AUACGUAGGGGGCGAGCGUUGUCCGGAAUGAUUGGGCGUAAAGGGCGCGUAGGCGGCUUUACAAGUCUGGAGUGAAAGUCCUAUUUUCAAGGUAGGAAUUGCUUUGGAUACUGAUGGGCUUGAGUGCAGGAGAGGUUAUCGGAAUUCCCGGUGUAGCGGUGAAAUGCGUAGAGAUCGGGAGGAACACCAGUGGCGAAGGCGGGUAACUGGACUGCAACUGACGCUGAGGCGCGAAAGUGUGGGGAGCAAACAGGAUUAGAUACCCUGGUAGUCCACGCUGUAAACUAUGAUAACUAUCUUUUAGCGAUACACAGUUAGAGGGUACGAGAAAUCAUUAAGUUAUCCACCUGGGGAUUACGUUCGCAAGAAUGAAACUCAAAUGAAUGGACGGGG